rnacentral:piRNA from 1 species
UCAGCAAUGUUUUUUUUUCAA